rnacentral:rRNA from 1 species
GACGAACGCUGGCGGCGUGCUUAACACAUGCAAGUCGAACGGAAAGGCCCUGCUUUUGUGGGGUGCUCGAGUGGCGAACGGGGGAGUAACACGUGAGUAACCUGCCCUUGACUUUGGGAUAACUUCAGGAAACUGGGGCUAAUACCGGAUAGGAGCUCCUGCUGCAUGGUGGGGGUUGGAAAGUUUCGGCGGUUGGGGAUGGACUCGCGGCUUAUCAGCUUGUUGGUGGGGUAGUGGCUUACCAAGGCUUUGACGGGUAGCCGGCCUGGGAGGGUGACCGGCCACAUUGGGACUGAGAUAGGGCCCAGACGCCUACGGGAGGCAGCAGUGGGGAAUAUUGCACAAUGGGCGGAAGCCUGAUGCAGCAACGCCGCGUGCGGGAUGACGGCCUUCGAGUUGUAAACCGCUUUCGCCUGUGACGAAGCGUGAGUGACGGUAAUGGGUAAAGAAGCACCGGCUAACUACGUG